CAGAAGAGGUCAGUGCAGACUAUGGGAGGAAGCGCAGAAGAAGACCAGUGAGAAAAAAGAUGUGAAAGAACAGCAUUGAAAAAAAAAAGGUGAUGGAAAAGUCAAGAACAUGAAAAAAAUUGACAAUCAUGGAGGGUUUGGGAAGAAAACUUCAUCAUCGGCAAAGGUUAGAUGAGUCAAAAGAAAAAAAAGACUAUGACGCUUCAGCACUCGGUGAGGAAGAAGGGCACCACCACUAAGCAAGCCCCAAGUUCUACCAGGCCACGUGCUUCACAAACUUCAGUCUCGUUGAUGACGAGAAUGAUACAAGUGAGUCAGAGCUCGAUCUGGAUUCAUCUGAUUUUUGGAUAUUGUCUGAUUCUACCAGCAGUAGCAGAGAACCAAACCCUCCCCAACGAGGAAUAAAGAAGGUGCAGAGGAGCAGAAAUUGGGCCAUGAGGCAGCCGUGACGCCAAUCAAAUGGUGCCACGGUGUAAUCCAAAUAUGUCACAGAAGUCGUACAGAGGAAACCCAAAUUUGACAAUAUGGCAGUGUUAUGCCAUUCACACAGGAUUAGUCACGUCUUAUUGUUUAGAGAUUGUUUAGUAAGAGGAAGACAUCCCUGGGCCAAUAGUAGAAGCAUGUUUCCAAAGCAGUGUUUGGACCAGUUAGACGCACCAUUAAACCUCUUAAAAUGAGCUCCUCCAGCCAGAGACUAAAAACAAAUGCGGCUCUCAGACUAUCAACAGGCACUAUUUCUAGGAAACAAUGCCCCAUUUGGGACUUCCAGUUUCCUCAUCAAUGAACAUCAACGAUGAUGAAUGGGCUCUGGCCGACAGCUUUAUUUUGAACUCUGACACUUCCAAAACCCUGUUCAUUAUCAGCCUUGUCCAGCUACUCUAGGCUGUCAUAUCGCCCCUCAUUGCAUCAUAAGAGCAUGGAGAGGCAAGGACUGGGCAACGGGAGCUACACAACUCAUCAGAUCCACUGCUGUACUUUGAAAACACUUUUAAAAGUCAAAGGUUUAUUUGGCCAUAAUUUCAGAUGACGUGAUACGGCAACACAUCUCCUUGACGUUUAUGCCAUCUGUCAGUCUCUACUCUCCUCAGCUGUUUGGAUGGGACAUUGAAUGAGACCCAAGAGGAUGUGAUCCACAGCCAUCUCCGUUCAGAAUAAAAAAGAGCUAGAGCUGUUUGGAGUAUAAUACCUGCGCACAAAGAAAAUGAAAUACAGAGAUGUUAGGGGCCAAAGUCAGACAAGGCCAUUGACACAAAUAUUAAGCUAGACUCACACUCAAUAAGUUUAAGCAUUAAUCAAAACGACAAGCUGGAACUUAUCCCAGCUCACUUGGAAAGAGAGAGACGGGAGAAAACUGUGAAGAGGUUGCUAGUUAUUGGCAGUUCACAUAUAGAAAACCAUUCACACUCAUGCAUAAUUAAAUGAACCUAACAUGCGGGGUGGCAGAAUACACAUCGAAAAACCCAUCCAAGCACAGUGAGAAAAUGCAAAUUCCAAACAGGAGGGUCUGACCCGGGAUUCAAAACCAAAACCUCUGAACUGGGAGGAAGAAAUGAAAAUCAAUACCUCACCAUGAUGCCCACAAUCAAAGCAAUACCUGUUGUUUUUUUUUUUUUAACCGUCCUAAAUUCGGCAUUGAAGACGAUGCCUCUUACCUGUCAUGGUUCAGUUUUUGCCUAAUAAACUUAACUUAAAUA